rnacentral:misc_RNA from 1 species
AAGUCGUAACAAGGUCUCCGUAGGUGAACCUGCGGAGGGAUCAUUAACACUUUGAAAACAAAAAAUCAAAACAACCCGGUAACUAAAAAUAAAAAAAUCUACUUCAAAGUAUGGUAAGAACGAGAUUAAAGAAGUUUUCUUCUUCUUCUUUGUCUUACAACAAAAAACAUGCUUGGAGUAUUUCUUUUUACUCUUUUUUAUUCACACCUUGUGUUAAUAACAAAAGUAGUAUAAGGAAUAAAUCGUUAUACUCAUGAUCUUAUAUUUUUGUUUUUCUUUGUUUCUUAAAACAAACAAAUCAAAACAACAAACCUAAAAUAACUAUUGUACAACCCUUAACAAUGGAUAUCUAGGCUCUC